rnacentral:rRNA from 1 species
GUGUGAUCUUGGCACAAGAUGAACGCUUGCUACUGGUUUAACCCAUUAAAGUCGAGGGGAAUCGGCAUUAAGUGCUUGCACUUUUUUUACGUCGACCGGUGCACGGGUGAGUAACGCGUAUCCAACCUUCCCAUGACUAAGGGAUAACCUGCCGAAAGGCAGACUAAUACCUUAUAGUCUUCACUGACGGCAUCAGAGGGGAAGUAAAGAUUUAUCGGUUAUGGAUGGGGAUGCGUCUGAUUAGCUUGUUGGCGGGGUAACGGCCCCCCAAGGCAACGAUCAGUAGGGGUUCUGAGAGGAAGGUCCCCCACAUUGGAACUGAGACACGGCCCAAACUCCUACGGGAGGCAGCAGUGAGGAAUAUUGGUCAAUGGGCGAGAGCCUGAACCAGCCAAGUAGCGUGCAGGAUGACGGCCGGGUGGGGGGUAAACUGCUUUUGUAUGGGGAUAAAGUCAAUCACGUGUGAUUGUUUGCAGGUACCAUACGAAUAAGGACCGGCUAAUUCCGUGCCAGCAGCCGCGGUAAUACGGAAGGUCCGGGCGUUAUCCGGAUUUAUUGGGUUUAAAGGGAGCGUAGGCUGGAAAUUAAGUGUGUUGUGAAAUGUAGACGCUCAACGUCUGACUUGCAGCGCAUACUGGUUUCCUUGAGUACGCACAACGUUGGCGGAAUUCGUCGUGUAGCGGUGAAAUGCUUAGAUAUGACGAAGAACUCCGAUUGCGAAGGCAGCUGACGGGAGCGCAACUGACGCUGAAGCUCGAAGGUGCGGGUAUCGAACAGGAUUAGAUACCCUGGUAGUCCGCACAGUAAACGAUGGAUGCCCGCUGUUGGUACUUGGUAUCAGCGGCUAAGCGAAAGCAUUAAGCAUCCCACCUGGGGAGUACGCCGGCAACGGUGAAACUCAAAGGAAUUGACGGGGGCCCGCACAAGCGGUGGAGUAUGUGGUUUAAUUUGACGCAACGCGAAGACCCUCCCCAGGUCUUGACAUUGAUGGACAGAACUAGAGAUAGUUCCUCUUCCUCGGAAGCCAGAAAACAGGUGGUGCACGGUUGUCGUCAGCUUGUGUCGUGAGAUGUUGGGUUAAGUCCCGCAACGAGCGCAACCCCUAUUUUAUGUUGCCAGCACUUCGGGUGGGAACUCAUGAGAGACUGCCGCAGACAAUGCGGAGGAAGGCGGGGAUGACGUCAAAUCAUCACGCCCCUUAUGACCUGGGCUACACACGUACUACAAAGGGAGUUAAUAGACGGAAGCAAUACCGCGAGGUGGAGCAAACCCGAGAAACACUCUCUCAGUUCGAAUCGUAGAAUGCAACUCGCCUACGUGAAGUCGGAAUCGCUAGUACUCUCAAGUGAGCAUACUGCGGUGAAUACGUUCCCGGGCCUGUACACACCGCCCGUCAAG